UACGUAGGGGGCAAGCGUUGUCCGGAUUUAUUGGGCGUAAAGAGCGUGUAGGCGGCUAGGUAGGUCCGUUGUGAAAACUCGAGGCUCAACCUCGAGACGUCGAUGGAAACCAUCUAGCUAGAGUCCGGAAGAGGAGAGUGGAAUUCCUGGUGUAGCGGUGAAAUGCGCAGAUAUCAGGAAGAACACCCGUGGCGAAGGCGGCUCUCUGGGCCUUACCUGACGCUGAGGAGCGAAAGCGUGGGGAGCGAACAGG
rnacentral:rRNA from 1 species